UGAAUACAGUAUUCAGUGAAAUCCCCAUCCCCAUCUCGUUCUUCCCGAUACUGUAGAAAAUGGCAUCCUCCACCACGCCUCGACCAGUUGACGGAUUUUACUUUGAGAUGGAAUUCAUUUUCGAUCAACACGAAGCCCAUGGAUUCAAGCCAACCAAGGCGUUGACGGACCUUAUGCGCCAGCACAACAUGAAAGGCGAUUAUUACGAUUGCAACAUGAUGGUUGCUUCGCACAAAAUGCACUUCAUUCUUUUCGGC